ACGGCUCAGUAACACGUAGUCAACAUGCCCAGGGGACGUGGAUAACCUCGGGAAACUGAGGAUAAACCGCGAUAGGCCAAGGUUUCUGGAAUGGACGCUGGCUGAAAUCUAUAUGGCCCCUGGAUUGGACUGCGGCCGAUCAGGCUGUUGGUGAGGUAAUGGCCCACCAAACCUGUAACCGGUACGGGCUCUGAGAGGAGGAGCCCGGAGAUGGGCACUGAGACAAGGGCCCAGGCCCUAUGGGGCGCAGCAGGCGCGAAACCUCUGCAAUAGGCGAAAGCUUGACAGGGUUACUCUGAGUGAUUUCCGUUAAGGAGAUCUUUUGGCACCUCUAAAAAUGGUGCAGAAUAAGGGGUGGGCAAGUCUGGUGUCAGCCGCCGCGGUAAUACCAGCACCCCGAGUGGUCGGGACGUUUAUUGGGCCUAAAGCAUCCGUAGCCGGUUCUACAAGUCUUCCGUUAAAUCCACCUGCUUAACAGAUGGGCUGCGGAAGAUACUAUAGAGCUAGGAGGCGGGAGAGGCAAGCGGUACUCGAUGGGUAGGGGUAAAAUCCGUUGAUCCAUUGAAGACCACCAGUGGCGAAGGCGGCUUGCCAGAACGCGCUCGACGGUGAGGGAUGAAAGCUGGGGGAGCAAACCGGAUUAGAUACCCGGGUAGUCCCAGCUGUAAACGAUGCAGACUCGGUGAUGAGUUGGCUUAUUGCUAACUCAGUGCCGCAGGGAAGCCGUUAAGUUUGCCGCCUGGGGAGUACGGUCGCAAGACUGAAACUUAAAGGAAUUGGCGGGGGAG
rnacentral:rRNA from 1 species